rnacentral:lncRNA from 1 species
AUAUAUUAGCAAAACUCUCCUGCUCAUUUUCUCUCUUCAAAUAGGACAAUCUUUUCAAAAGUGACCAUUCUCCCCUCACUCAAAAUAGUUUUCAUUUUUAUCUCUAGAUUUUGAUUUGUCUCUUCUUUGUGUCUUUCCCCUAUUUACCAAACCUUCCCUUUUGUCUUAUACUCAGUAAAGUUCUUUUACAACUCUUUUAAUUUUAGUGCAUUGCUAACAUCAUCUUGUGAAAUACUAGU